GGGUCAGUAGGUUGGUCGUGCCACCGGUACGUACUGGUCUCACUGAUUCCUCCUUCCUGAAGAACCGUAAUGCCAUUAAUUUGGUGUUGCGGGGAAACAGGACUGUUACUUUGAAAAAAUUAGAGUGUUUAAAGCAAGCUAACGCUUGAGCACAUUAGCAUGGAAUAAUGAAAUAGGACGAUCGAUCCUAUUUUGCUGGUUUCUAGGAUUGACGUA
rnacentral:rRNA from 1 species